rnacentral:rRNA from 1 species
GGAUUGUAGUCUGCAACCCGACUACAUGAAGCCGGAAUCGCUAGUAAUCGCGGAUCAGAAUGCCGCGGUGAAUACGUUCCCGGGUCUUGUACACACCGCCCGUCACACCAUGGGAGUCGGAAAUGCCCGAAGCCGGUGACCCAACCCGAAAGGGAGGGAGCCGUCGAAGGCAGGUCGGAUGACUGGGGUGAAGUCGUAACAAGGUACC